UUAUAUGAGAGUUUGAUCCUGGCUCAGGAUGAACGCUGGCGGCGUGCCUAAUACAUGCAAGUCGAACGAGUUCUCGUUGAUGAUCGGUGCUUGCACCGAGAUUCAACAUAGAACGAGUGGCGGACGGGUGAGUAACACGUGGGUAACCUGCCCUUAAGUGGGGGAUAACAUUUGGAAACAGAUGCUAAUACCGCAUAGAUCCAAGAACCGCAUGGUUCUUGGCUGAAAGAUGGCGUAAGCUAUCGCUUUUGGAUGGACCCGCGGCGUAUUAGCUAGUUGGUGAGGUAACGGCUCACCAAGGCGAUGAUACGUAGCCGAACUGAGAGGUUGAUCGGCCACAUUGGGACUGAGACACGGCCCAAACUCCUACGGGAGGCAGCAGUAGGGAAUCUUCCACAAUGGACGCAAGUCUGAUGGAGCAACGCCGCGUGAGUGAAGAAGGCUUUCGGGUCGUAAAACUCUGUUGUUGGAGAAGAAUGGUCGGCAGAGUAACUGUUGUCGGCGUGACGGUAUCCAACCAGAAAGCCACGGCUAACUACGUGCCAGCAGCCGCGGUAAUACGUAGGUGGCAAGCGUUAUCCGGAUUUAUUGGGGCGUAAAGCGAGCGCAGGCGGUUUUUUAAGUCUGAUGUGAAAGCCCUCGGCUUAACCGAGGAAGCGCAUCGGAAACUGGGAAACUUGAGUGCAGAAGAGGACAGUGGAACUCCAUGUGUAGCGGUGAAAUGCGUAGAUAUAUGGAAGAACACCAGUGGCGAAGGCGGCUGUCUGGUCUGUAACUGACGCUGAGGCUCGAAAGCAUGGGUAGCGAACAGGAUUAGAUACCCUGGUAGUCCAUGCCGUAAACGAUGAAUGCUAGGUGUUGGAGGGUUUCCGCCCUUCAGUGCCGCAGCUAACGCAUUAAGCAUUCCGCCUGGGGAGUACGACCGCAAGGUUGAAACUCAAAGGAAUUGACGGGGGCCCGCACAAGCGGUGGAGCAUGUGGUUUAAUUCGAAGCAACGCGAAGAACCUUACCAGGUCUUGACAUCUUUUGAUCACCUGAGAGAUCAGGUUUCCCCUUCGGGGGCAAAAUGACAGGUGGUGCAUGGUUGUCGUCAGCUCGUGUCGUGAGAUGUUGGGUUAAGUCCCGCAACGAGCGCAACCCUUAUGACUAGUUGCCAGCAUUUAGUUGGGCACUCUAGUAAGACUGCCGGUGACAAACCGGAGGAAGGUGGGGAUGACGUCAAAUCAUCAUGCCCCUUAUGACCUGGGCUACACACGUGCUACAAUGGAUGGUACAACGAGUUGCGAGACCGCGAGGUCAAGCUAAUCUCUUAAAGCCAUUCUCAGUUCGGACUGUAGGCUGCAACUCGCCUACACGAAGUCGGAAUCGCUAGUAAUCGCGGAUCAGCACGCCGCGGUGAAUACGUUCCCGGGCCUUGUACACACCGCCCGUCACACCAUGAGAGUUUGUAACACCCGAAGCCGGUGGCGUAACCCUUUUAGGGAGCGAGCCGUCUAAGGUGGGACAAAUGAUUAGGGUGAAGUCGUAACAAGGUAGCCGUAGGAGAACCUGCGGCUGGAUCACCUCCUUU
rnacentral:rRNA from 1 species